rnacentral:lncRNA from 1 species
AGUCGACAGCUACUGCUUCUGUUCUUCACUAACUGCUCCCUAUUUAUUUGCCAGAAAUGCAAAAAUUCAACCAAGUGCUACCUAGGAACCUCUAUCAGCAAGUACCUAGCAUUCCAGCAGAUGGGGAUGUCUAUACAUAAAAGAGAGGUCUCUGAUCAGUAAUGUGAGACGUGAGACUUUCCCACACUUCACAAUGGUGCAGCCUAAAGAUGGAUUUUCCUUUAUGGGUUAAGACUCAUCUGAAGAUGACUUGUGCUUUCAGAAGAUCCAGAAUCUUAAUAUAUCUUUGCACAGAAAGGUAUGUCACUAAUUGCUAUAUGGAAUAAUUUGGGUUAGACUAGUUAU